AGAACGAACGCUGGCGGCAUGCCUAACACAUGCAAGUCGAACGCGUGUAGCAAUACACGAGUGGCGGACGGGUGAGUAACGCGUGGGAACCUGCCCUGGAGUGGGGGGAUAACCGAUGGAAACGUCGGCUAAUACCGCAUACGUCCUGAGGGAGAAAGAUUUAUCGCUCUAGGAGGGGCCCGCGUCGGAUUAGCUAGUUGGUGAGGUAACGGCUCACCAAGGCGAUGAUCCGUAGCUGGUCUGAGAGGACGAUCAGCCACACUGGGAUUGAGAACGGCCCAGACUCCUACGGGGGGCAGCAGUGAGGAAUUUUCCGCAAUGGGCGCAAGCCUGACGGAGCAACGCCGCGUGCAGGACGACGGCCUUCGGGUUGUAAACUGUCUUUCUCGAGGAAGAAACCGGACGGUACUCGAGGAAGAACGCCCGGCUAACUACGUGCCAGCAGCCGC
rnacentral:rRNA from 1 species